rnacentral:lncRNA from 1 species
UUAUUUUACAAUGUCCAUUUACACUUUCACUGUAUAUUUAAAAUGCUGAUGCCAUGUUAUAUAUACCUUCCCUCACAACCCUCAUAAACAACUCACAUAAACUGGGCAGGGAUGGUAUCACUUUUUACAGCAGCAGAAACUGAGGCUCACAGGGAUUAAAUAAUGGUCUGUGGCUCCCAAAAUAGUUGCCAGAACUACAUUUAGAGUGUCUUAUUCACUAAUAUUAUAACCUUCUAAAAAAUGAGGGGAAGAGAAAGAGAGAAGCUUAAACAAGUAAGAAUAUGUAUCCAAGACAGAAAGCCUACAGGAAAUGAUGGGGGGGGUGGGGAUAAAAUUAUUUUCACUUUGCAUAUAGGAAAGCUGUUCUGUCUGUGUAUUGGAGGCCAAUAGAGUAGCAUAGCACCAUGUCACUCCUGACAGGAAGGGCUGGGAGCUUAAACUUCAUAUAACCAGUAUCCAGUGCAAGCGGUGCUUAGUGAACAAGUAAAUCGCUGAAUGUUCAGAGCCUUCAGCACAGGAAAAACUUGCUAACAAAGUAAGGGGGAAAAUAGUUUUAUCUUUGGAGAUGGUAGUUAGCUUUUGGCAUUGUAAAUAGACUAAUCACCAUAGGAAAUGUUUCUAUACUGAUACUGUUGUAUGCUAUCAGGAAAUUCAGAAAAUAUCAAGGGGUGUGCUAUACUGUAAACCAAAAACUUACAAAUUUUUUUUUCCCUUUUUUCAGCCACCUCCCGGGGGCAUAUGGAAGUUCCUGGGCUAGGGACUAAAUCUGAGUGGGAGCUGUGACCUACACCACAGUUGCAGCAAUGCCUAACCCACUGGGCAGACUAGGGAUCAAAUCAGGGCCUCCACAGAGACAAGCUGGAUCAUUAACACACUGUGCCACAGCAGAAACUCCAAAACCGGCAAUUUUAAUACUCUAAAGAACCGAGUAAAUAAUGUCAAGGGUUUAUAUGUAAAAAGAUUAGCAACAGUUGCAUCUUGGGUAAUAGGCAUGUUCAGGACAAGUUGUUCAAAUCAAAUCUUACUUGGAGAUUAAUACAAUACCCUACUGUUGCCAUCACUGCUGCAGUAGGAGUAACUGGGAUAGCAGGGGUGAAGUGGACAACAGAAAAAUCAAGAGUUCACAAGCUUUAAUUUAUAAGCAUUUAUUAAUGCUAGAGUACAUAUCCCAGUAUCUGAAUAAGCUAUACUGAAAAGUAUGCAUACCAUCAAUUGCAAUGAAAAUACUUAAUGGAGAGGGUCAGAAAAAGACUCUUAUUAUGUGUAUACAAAUCUGAUGUAUAUUAUUGUACUUAAUAUCGUUAGGUACAGAUUCAAAUUCAACUGAUAGUUCUGGUUCAAAUUCGACUAUACAGAUAGUUUGAGAGACCAAUGGUUAUCUUAUGUUUUUUGACAGAAGUUCUCAAUAGGAAAACUUCAUAAGUCAUUUCCGUGCCCCUAUGGGAGAAAGCUGACUGUGCUUUCUUAGAAUUGGUGUACAGCUUUGGAAAAUCCUGAGUCUGAGGGUGCAUCCCAAAUUAAUCUGAGGGGGUACAGCCCAGCCUUGGUAUCAAUUUUAGAGUCCCAGUCUUUCCUAACACUCAGCUAAGGUUGACAACCAUUGCAUUUAUCUCAGAGGGAAAAAAAAUCACCUGCCUUAAGAUACUUCAUUUUAUUCACUUACUUUGACAAGGAAAAGUUUUAAAGUAAAGGAAUUUAAACAGAUUCAAACAAUCCAAUGGUAAAGAUACCAGGAGAAUAUUUAGUAACUUUCCUUUAGUGACUCAGUAGCACUUACAAGGUGGUUUUCAGCAUCUGAGUGGCAACCACCUGUGUGGACACAGGUACCACCUUGACCUCUAUUUGGAGAGACCUGUGGUGACAUCCUGGCUCUCAUGGUGUCCUUCCCACAGAUCAUGACACCGUUGGGCUGCUACUCAGAGAAAAAAUAGAGGAAAGGAGAAUGAACACUUAGAAACCUUUGCAGCAACUUGAGAGUCAUCUUGAGCCAUUUUACGUCCUUUUACGUCACUGUAGAUCGUAAACCAUCCAGUCACAGUCGAGAGGCCCCAGCUGGAGGGUGGAGGCCACACCCACCAACUCUACUGGGCAGUCAGCGCCCCUCCAGAGGGACCUGUCACCUCCCUGCUUCCCAUAACUUGCCCCUUAUGCUUCAAGCAUGUAAACUACCAACCAUUACUCUCAAAACUCCCAUCAUUUCACUUCUCAGCACACAUUCCCUCUUUGUGAAAAGACUUUUCCAGCCUACCAGCAAACACCCAUCCCUCCCACAAGACUGGGCACAGGCCUCCUAUGUCCCGAGACACCCCGUCCUUCUGUAUCCUCUCUCCCUGCUCUGUGCGAUCAUUUGCCCCCAGGCUUCCACCCUAACCAAGUCUACGCUUUAGGAGCAAGGACUAUGCCUUCCGCACCUCUGCGGGUCAGUCUGGCAGAAGCCUGGCACCUGGCAGGCCAACCAGCAAUACGGUGAUUAAAAUCCCUAACAUGAAAACCUCUCAAAGGCAGAUUCUCCAUUCCCCCCCAGCACACACCCGAUUAUUCAGCUCGAUAUUUCUCAAACUGGAUUUUGCCACCAUCUUCUGGGGACACCAGACCUCAUGCUUGAGAAACACUCACCUAGAUUCUGAUCAGGCUUCAGGUUACGGUCACCACAUCCAUUAAAAAAAAAUCUGUGUACUGGAAAAUGUCACUGCUUCUCGAGCUCAUUAACAGGCUAAUACAGUCAUAGUUAAAGUACAACCGGAUUGUUCUCAGGAAAUCUGGAGAGGUGGUUCUAUUUUACCCACAAAAAAAUCAGGCAGAAAGGUUCUUUUUUAAGGAUGAAGAAAUUUGAUCAGAUAUUUAAAACAUAAAGAACAUUUUAAGCAUAGAACUGGGUAUAGAAUAAAAGACUAAACAGACACUGUCACAGAGUUUUAACUGUAAAAAUAUUAAAAUUGUAAGAAAAUAUUCUUACCAUCUAAUAUUGAACAGGGAAACAUAUUCUAAGCCAAAAAAACCAAACCAAAACAGAAAAACCCCUCUUCAAUAAAAAAAAGAAGUCACAGGGGAAAAAAAAGAGAAGUUGAAGAAGUCACAGGAGGUCCCUAGUGGCUGAGUGGGUUAAGGACUUGGCAUUGUCAAUGCUGUGAUGUGGUCCCUGGCCUGGGAACUUCCGCCUGUUGCAGGCAUGGCCAAAAAAAAAAAGGAGGAGGAGAAACAGAGAAAACUACUGAAGGAUUUGGCUGACUAAAUAUACAAACGUUAUAUGUUUGUAUACCUGAAAACAUCAAAAGCAAGUAGAGAAGCAAAACACAAAAUGGAAGAAUAUAUUUGUAACAUCUACUAUGGUGGAUAAAAAGGAAUGUUCUUUGUAUAUAAAGAAUAUUAAAAAAAAUAAGAAACAAGAAAAAACUUUAUUUUUAUUUAUUUUUUGUCUUUUUGCCUUUUCCAGGGCCACUUCCGAGGCACAUGAAGAUUCCCAGGCUAGGGAUCUAAUCGGAGCCAUAGCCACCGGCCUACACCAGAGCCACAGCAACACGGGAUCUGAGCUGCGUCUGCAACCUACACCACAGCUCACAGCAAGUUGUGGCUGUGGCCAGUGGCUAAUGCUCCAAUUUGACCCCUAGCCUGGGAAUUUCCAUAUGCCGAAGGUGCGGCCCUAAAAAGCCAAAAAAAUAUAAAGAAAAGGCAUUUCAAUUUUAUUUAAUGCUGGCGAGGUGAGAUGCCAUUGGGAUUUGUAUCACUGCUAGUGAACAUGUAAGCUGGUCACACUUUUCUACUAGCAAUCAGCAUACACAUCAAGUUGUUUGUUGUGCUGAAAAUGUUCGCACCCUUUCCCCUACAUUGGACUCUACUAGAACUCUCUUUAAAAAUAUAUAUAUGACGUGGUCAAAGAAUUACAUAAAGAUACAAUAGCUUCUAUUCAUAAUAAUGAAAACUUAAAAACCUAAAAGUCCAAAAUUAAAGGAAUGCAUAAAACAACACUGUAUCAAUGACAGAAUAGUAUGCCACCAUUAUAAUUCCUUCUAAAACAUAAUGACAGGAGGAAAGGUUAAACUCAAAAUGUAUGAUAAUAGUACUACAUGUGUUAACUGAAAACAACAAAAAUAAGUUAUAAAAGUAGUAUGAACACUAAAUACCAAUUUUGCUUAUGUAUUUAUGAGUAUACACACACACACAUAUAUAAAUAUACACAUGUAUUUUAAAAACUGGAAAGCAUACCAAAAUGUUAGGAGUGCCUAUCUUUGAGGAGUGGGCAAUUUUCACAUUUUUCUAUAACUCUAAUUUACUUAAAAAAGCUAUAUUCCUUAUAUAAUUAAAGGGAGAGUGGAGGGAAAUUCUCCACUUUUUAAAAGGCAAGCACAUAGUGAGAAAAUAAGUCUUGGUAAGGAAUAAGCAAUGGAUCAUAUUAUCUAAUUUUUGAACAGCAUAUGUCCUUUGAUUUAAACUUAACAACUAAAGAUUAAAAAUUUCAAACACUAGGAGUUCCAUGGUGGCUCAGUGAGUUAAGGACUCAGUGUCUCUCUAUGAGGAUGUGGGUUCAAUUCCUGGCCUCACUCAGUGAGUUAAGGAU